CCUCUACCACCAUAAAAUUUUUCGCAAUAUUGCACAAAAAAAUAUUUUCCACUUAGGUUCAGUUCCCCAGAAUAAAAUUUGCAAGAAAGUAGUGAGUGGUAUGCCAUAAGGACCUAGAAAGAUUAUCUAUGUAGUGUUGGACAAAAUGAUAAUUACACCCAGAAUAAUGUCCAAACUAAAUAGCAAUAGGAAGAGAGUAACAACG
rnacentral:lncRNA from 1 species